rnacentral:rRNA from 1 species
ACUCAAAUGAAUUGACGGGGACCCGCACAAGCGGUGGAACAUGUGGUUUAAUUCGAAGCAACGCGAAGAACCUUACCAGGGCUUGACAUCUAACAAACCUCUGUGAAAGCAGAGGGUGCUCUUCGGAGAAUGUUAAGACAGGUGGUGCACGGUUGUCGUCAGCUCGUGUCGUGAGAUGUUGGGUUAAGUCCCGCAACGAGCGCAACCCUCGUCGUUAGUUGCACAUAUCGGUAUACUGAUAUGGUGCUCUCUAGCGAGACUGCCGGUGAUAAACCGGAGGAAGGUGGGGACGACGUCAAAUCAUCAUGCCCCUUAUGCUCUGGGCUACACACGUGUUACAAUGGCCGGUACAACGAGUCGCCAACUCGCGAGAGUGAGCAAAUCUCUUAAAACCGGUCUCAGUUCGGAUUGGACUCUGCAACUCGAGUCCAUGAAGUCGGAAUCGCUAGUAAACGCAGAUCAGCACGCUGCGUUGAAUACGUUCCCGGGUCUUGUACACACCGCCCGU